AAGCACCUCAUGUAGAGGCGUGCAUUUUGGAUGAUGAAAGUGCACGAGACCAUGUGACCUAGUGUUUGUAGACAGUCUCGGACAGUCACCUGGGGACUGUUGAGAAUUUUUGUGGCCAGUCGGCUUAUGGAGUUGAAGCAGUCGGGUGGAAGAGAUGCCAAUCCCGUCCGGGAGUCGAGGUAUGCCCCUAUGAACUCCAGAUGGGUGGGGCAUAACGUGGAUUUGUUUUUGUUUAUUUGCAGGCCUAGAGAUAGGAAACAAUCGACGGUAAGCCGCAUGGAUUGGAGAGCUUCGUCGAACGUUGAAGCUUUGAGGAGGCAAUUGUCGAGGUGUCUGGAGACCUAAGGACCGGAGGGUUGCCCUUGAGUCCUUCAUUGAGUGAAGCACGUUGUUCGUGGCGGAAGCAAAACGUUUUUUACUGUCAAAGGGAAGAUCUUCAAUGGUGCUUUGGACCUCUCGAGGAAAGAAAGAGGAGGAGAGCCAUGAACCACGGCGCAUGACCACUGCUGUGGCGGUCGAUCUUGCUGCAGUGUUGGCUACAUCGAGGUCCGCUUGAAGAGCGGUACGUGAUAUGAUUUCUCCCUCGGAAACCAGAGCUGUGAAUUGUUGUUUUUUCUGUUCUGGGAUGUCGUCAAUAAAGUCCAUGAAUUUAU